CCUGGAGACUCCUACGGGAGGCAGCAGUGGGGAAUUUUGGACAAUGGGGGCAACCCUGAUCCAGCCAUGCCGCGUGUAUGAAGAAGGCCUUCGGGUUGUAAAGUACUUUUGUUAGGGAAGAAAAGGGAAGUGCUAACACCACUUUUUGCUGACGGUACCUAAAGAAUAAGCACCGGCUAACUACGUGCCAGCAGCCGCGGUAAUACGUAGGGUGCGAGCGUUAAUCGGAAUUACUGGGCGUAAAGCGAGCGCAGACGGUUAUUUAAGCAGGAUGUGAAAUCCCCGGGCUCAACCUGGGAACUGCGUUCUGAACUGGAUAGCUAGAGUGUGUCAGAGGGGGGUGGAAUUCCACGUGUAGCAGUGAAAUGCGUAGAGAUGUGGAGGAAUACCGAUGGCGAAGGCAGCCCCCUGGGAUAACACUGACGUUCAUGCUCGAAAGCGUGGGUAGCAAACAGGAUUAGAUACCCUUGUAGUCC
rnacentral:rRNA from 1 species